CCCCCCCCCCCCGCCUGCCGCCCUUGCGGGGCUGGAGGCAGCCGAGGCAGCUUCCCCCUCAGGGACACCUGUGAGAAGAAAGCCCAACCCCCUGCCUUCCCCAGGCCACAGGGCUGGGCUGCAGCAUGUCCACGCAGGAUGGACUCUCAGUGGGCUUCUGGGUUGUUUCCAGUUUGGGGGAAUCAGACGCCACUGUGGUGAACACUCCUGUACGUGAAUCCUCGCUGAGUGCAUUUUCAUCUGCUUGGUCCCUAAGAUGUGAUUCCCAGGACCUGGCUGGACACAGAGAUGAGUGGAGGCGGGGGGAGGGCCGCUGGGGAGGAGAAAGGGCGGCAGAAGCGACAGCAUGCCGGGCAGGCUGUGGUCCCACUGCCCCAAACAUGGCAGCCCAGCUCCCCACUGGGGCUGCCUGGAAUACUGGGAGGGCCACACGGAGGGCUCCGCAGUACCCGGCGGGCAGGGGAUCUCCCUGGCUCUCCCUGCCACCCCUAGCCCACCUCCUGCACCUCUCCCCUCUCCUCCAGAAUGGCCCUCCCCUGGGAAUUCCACUCCCAGGACCGCUCUCGACUGCUGUCCUCCUUGCUGGUGCUGAAAUCACCAGGCUGGACCACAAUCUGUCUCCAGCCUCACGUUCGGCCCUCGCGCUACACCGCUCGCCUGGCUCUUGGGCGCAGGGCUCCUCUUUCUCUCUCGGACAGGAAAAAGGUGCCAGAGGGGCAGAGGCAUCGCCGCCCAGCACCUAUGUAUAGAAUGCCUCACCCGCCCUGAGUUCUCACCCACGAGCUCACCUGUGGACAGACCACAACCCGCAGACUUUCCCACGUCUCCACCCGCCGGGUGCCCCUGGAGUCCUGCAGCCAGCAACACCCCGCCCGAGCAGCCCAGAGACCCUCGGUGGCUUCUCCCAGGCCCUCCACCUUGAUGCCCUGCUACUCCCUGGAACCAUCUAGACGUCUCCACGGCCCAGGCUCCAAAGCGUAAAUGUCUGGUCCUAUGUCGGAGGCCCUUCUGGCUGGUCGGUGGCCACGCUGUCUGGUUAUUAAUGAAUAUUUGAGCAGCACGCCGGGGUAUUUUUGGCCACGGGUUCUGCUGGAAUCUGGGCAGAGAGGAGUGGAUGGCUCCAGGCCAGGUGAGGAAGGGGUGGGGUGGGAGUUGCUCCUGGAGAGUGACGUGAUGUCUGUGUCAAAGAAGACGGAGGCAGAGACAGAAGGCUGUAGGUGUAAAGAGACUAGGCAGGCUGGUGCUUGAAAGGGGAAAAGUCACACUCAGGCAGUGAGCUCACACAGAGGCUGGGCACCUGUGGGUGGGGCGCCUGGUCCCCGCCAUGGCACUGCCCCUGCCGCCUUGGUCGUCUGGUGCCAGGUGACUGGCCACCCCCAGCGCAGUACUGACACUACAGCUUGCUUGUUAUCCUGCCUUUCUGCCGGCGGCUCUUCUGCACGUGAGGAUGGCUGGGACGGUGUCCGGCUGCCUGUCUAGUGCCCACAGGGAGGAUGGGCUGGCUGGACGGGGCCUCUGCCUCUCCCUGCAGCCAGACCAGCAGACAACCGGGCUCCCGACACGACAGCUCAGCACCCUGUCCCCUGCGUCGCCAAGGCCCAGCCAGAUUGAGGGGCUGCUGGGGAGCUCAGUCCCCGCAGGCAGGCAGGAUCCCUUGGGGCCGUCCUGGAGCCCGGCCACCACAGUCUACUUGUCUUCAGCAUAGGAAGCUGCCAGCUGGACCACAGCAUGGCCUGCGGGUUCACAUGGGCUCUGUCGGUGGCCGAAGUGGAGGAGGGUGUUGGGGUGUGAAAGUGCCGCACCCGGGUUGUCCACCGUGGGAGGGAACCCAGGGUCCUCGAUAAAGGCCUUGAGGUGGGAACUGAGCUGACCUUCAUCCCUUAGCUCAGUAUUCACUCAUCAGGACCUCCCUGGCGGCCCAGCGGUUAAGACGCCCCACUUUCACUGCUGAGAGCAUCAGUUCGACCCCUGGUGGGGGAACUAAGAUCCCACAAGCCGUGCGGCGAGGCCAAAAGAAAAAAAUCAUUCAUUCAUUCACCAGAACCAGCCUGCCCAGGCCCUGCCGUGCGAGCGGCCCUGGGGCCACAGAAACAACACAGCUUCAGGCGAGGAGGUCCCAGGACCCCUUUCCCCUAACCUCCCCGGGGCCUGUGAACCUCAUGAGACAGGGGCAGGCAGCCACCCGUUGGCUGGGUUUCAGGGUUGCCCCUGGAUGUCUCCAGGGAGGGAAGGAAGCCAGGUGGGGUCAGUGCCGGGAACCCCAUGAGACCAGGAUGGAGCCUGGAGGGACGAGGGGUCCACGAGGUCAGCACCCCUGACGGUGGAGCCCAUCCUUUCCUGAGAGUGGAGCCCUCUCACUGCGUCUGCGUAGGGGCUGCUGCGAUGUGAGUGGGGUCUGGAUGAAGAUGGGGGAGUGUGCACGUGUGUGCACGUCAGGGCCCGCACAUGAGCCUGCGCCCACCUGUGCCCUUCACCACGUGACCGUGAGCUAGUGCAGGGGAUGGACAGCAUUUGAACGUCCAGGAGCCUGAGACCCUCCCAGCAUGGGACCCCAAAUGCCCGGACUGGCGCGCCCUCUGGUGGCUGACUGGCAUCCGGUCGCUUGGAGAGGCGAGGACUCCUGGUUCCCUCCUCCCGGUGGAUCCGUCCAGCAGAUUCAUGUUCGCAUAUGGGGCUUUCAGACAGAAGCCCUCGUGCGGGGCUCACCCUCGCCCCCGGACAAACUCAUAAAGACACACACGCAUACGCUGAGGCAUUUGGGGCGGGGUCGAGGGGAUGAGCCCUGAGCGAAGGCAGAGGGCAACGUGAGCCCUGCACCCACCGUGGCGUCGGGGCACAGAAAGGAGCAAGCACAGCCGUGCUGAGCUGAGGAGGCGGGACACGCCGGCUGGGGCUCGAGGGGAAGCUCCCACCCUGGGGAGAACCUCAGGAACCAGCGGAAAGCACCUGGGGGGAAGGGCCGCGGCGCGGAGCCAACAGUGUGCGGCACUGGGAGAGACAGGUUGCAGAUGGAGCCUGCGGACGGGGAGGUGGGCGUAGAAGGCCUCCUCCCAGGGAGCACGGACCAGCCCUGGUGACUAGAAGCAAAUCUUAACAGGGCCCAGUGAUCUGCUAAAACCACCUGCCGGGAAGCAUGAAGCCUCGCCUUCUUUGGGAGUAGAUAAUUCAUCCACAAUGUCCCACAGCAAAUUGAAAAUACAAGGCGUGUGCUGAAAAAGGGCCAGCUCGCUGAAAACCAGGGGAAACGCGGCAGACCCCCGGGUGAUCCAGACGCAAGAGCUGUCAGACGGGGGUUUUCAAAUAACCGCCUGCCGCGCCCUUCUUGUCACUGCCUUGCUUAGGAGCCUCCCGUGACCCCAUGGCUCCUCAGCGGGGCACCCAGCGCCCCCUCCCACCUCGGAAGCAGCUUCGCUUCACCCCUGUAUAGAUUUAUGUAUAGAUUUCUACACAGAAGCUUGGGAUCCAUAUGUUACAAUGCUAAACAAUUACAAUCUUGGGCUUCCCCGGUGGCGCUGUGGUUGGGAGUCCGCCUGCCGAUGCAGGGGACACGGGUUCGUGCCCCGGUCCGGGAAGAUCCCACAUGCCGCGGAGCGGCUGCGCCCGUGAGCCAUGGCCGCUGAGCCUGCGCGUCCGGAGCCUGUACUCCGC